rnacentral:rRNA from 1 species
AACGAACGCUGGCGGCAGGCUUAACACAUGCAAGUCGAGCGCCCCGCAAGGGGAGCGGCAGACGGGUGAGUAACGCGUGGGAACGUACCCUUUGGUUCGGAACAACUCCGGGAAACUGGAGCUAAUACCGGAUAAGCCCUAACGGGGAAAGAUUUAUCGCCGAAAGAUCGGCCCGCGUCUGAUUAGCUAGUUGGUGAGGUAACGGCUCACCAAGGCGACGAUCAGUAGCUGGUCUGAGAGGAUGAUCAGCCACACUGGGACUGAGACACGGCCCAGACUCCUACGGGAGGCAGCAGUGGGGAAUAUUGGACAAUGGGCGCAAGCCUGAUCCGGCCAUGCCGCGUGAGUGAUGAAGGCCUUAGGGUUGUAAAGCUCUUUUGUCCGGGAAGAUAAUGACUGUACCGGAAGAAUAAGCCCCGGCUAACUUCGUG